GUUUUGUGUUGGGGAUUGGUGUUGUCGGCUGUAGACCGCACACGAAAAGACCGUGCCGUGGGGGCUGACAUUGUACAGGCUGUAGUCGACAUUAUCCGGGAAAACUGCAUCUAUCCCAAUGACAGGGUCUUCCUAAGACGUCUAGCCUACGUACAAUCUAAAGAUGGGAAGAACACAAACACCUUCCGACAGAAUUAUUACGGUGGGAUUUGGCAGGUGGAAAAGUCAGAAUUUGAGUCCACCAAACAUUGUUAUGGAAUAGAAGAUAUGUGCCAAGCUAUACAAGAAAAACUGAACAUAGACUGGCGAGCCGUAGCAUGGACUGACCUGACCAAACCCCUGUACUCGGGGCUAGCAGCCAGCCUCAGACUUCAACAAAUAGCAGGAAACAACACCCCGGGUGUCCUUGAAAGACAGGCAGAUUUCUGGGUGGACAACUACCAUAAAGGACAAUCGCCUCAUUACUUUAUAUCGGAAGUCAACCAGAUAGAUGAAAAUAAAAAGUGUGAAAUUGAUUUAGCCUUCAUUCUGGAUGGAUCAGGGAGCAUUUCAUUUCUGAAUUUUCUACGGAUUCUUGACUUUGUUAAAAACGUCACAAAACAGUUUGAAAUAGGUCCCGAUUCAGUUCAAGUAGCAGCCAUCUCUUUCAGUGACUCUGCACGUGUAGAAUUUGGUUUCGGAGAUUUCGAUUCUCAAGCCGCUCUUGACAUAGCUAUUGAUAGCAUACAGUACGACGCUGGAGGUACCAACACCGCACACGGAAUCCGCACUGCUAGACGAGGGGUGUUUCAGCACAACACAAGAUCAAAUGCUGUUAAAGUAGGAAUUGUCAUUACAGACGGAUAUUCAAAUUAUUAUCCCAGUACUGUUCUAGAGGCUUCGUACGCCAAGGAUGCCGGAAUAGUGCUAUUUGCGAUCGGGAUCGGAGAUGUUAAUGAGAUGGAACUCAACGAAGUUGCCAGCGAUCCGAAUUGUACUCACGUUUUCUUCCUAACGCAAUUUUCAGAAAUCGACAGCUUGGUAUCCGAGAUCAAGAAAGCUGCAUGCCGUGGUAAUGUUCAUAAAAUUUCUGAAUCAAUUCAUUAAAUCUAACUCGACUUAUAAACUUUCCAAUAUUGACCUUUUGGGUUUAAUUUGAAGAAAUUAAGCCGAGAUAUAAAAAAAGAUCUGAAAAGUUGACAUAAUAAACUGACAAGUUGUGGCAGAACUACGCCACCGUAAUGUUGCAAUUAUAUACAUAUACAUGUAGUUGGUAUGAUUUGACAAAAUGUUCGUUUAUACCUUAAUUAAUUUUCAGACUUAAUUGAAUAGUGUUUACUUUCCUUUUUUUAUCUAUGAUAGCUCCGAUUUCACCACCGCAAAAUACUAGCAGUAAUACAACCGAAAUAAUCAAGCAUAUCAAUGAAACCAUCAGUGUGAAAGUACCACCGCCCACCGACCCUACCGACACAAAAAUGAAUGCAAGACAUUAGUAUUGUUUUUAAAUUUUCAUAUAAUGAUGUUACGAGUAUACUAUGUACAAAAAGUAACGUAUUUAAAGCACGACAAUAUAAAAUUUUGAAAAAACAUAAGCCUUUACAUUUACAUUUGUUUAAAGGUGUCUGUAAAUUGUGGCAUUGUCCAUAUUUACAUGUCCUAUGACAAUCCACAUCCAAGUUCAGUACUGUACAGUGACAAAGUAACAGCCACGGACGGCCACCCCGCCAUACUGUACUUCAAUCGAACAGUGGAUGGACGGCCAUUAUAUUUAACGUUUGUGGGGACUCAACUUCCGCCGGAAGCUGCUGGUCUGAAGAACUGUAGCGAUGCAGAAUAUGUGAUCGGUAUCGCAAAGGAAAACAAGACAGGUAAGAGACGAGUUUUAAUUAAUAAUUUUGUUGUAUUUCUAACGAAUAAAUAUUGUCAACUUGUGCGGAUGGACUGUUCAAUUUAGAUGUUGAAAUCGUCUGCCGCCAAAACAAGGUAGAGCGAGAAUGCACCAAGACAGAUUUCGAGCUGAGUGAGAAGUACAAACAUUACCUUUGUAAAACCAAUGGAGGUAAUAAUUCUUUUAUAUUUCUAACCCCAUGAUAAUCCUUCCUAAUAUAUUGUUUGCAUUGUGGUGUUAUUAUUACUAUUAUAAAAUUACUUGCUUUCUGUUUGAUACAGAUCUCAAUACACUCGUUGUUGCAAACCCAUGCACUGCAACCGCCAUACAGAACAACGAAAUGUACCAUCCCUAUCCAUACGACGACACGAAAUUCAUCAAGUGUGAUUACCAACAAAAGAUGUACAUAACGCAGUGCCCAAAUGGCGAAAGAUACCAUCAGGGGUCCCACUCUUGUGGAUCCACUACUACAACAAUAACAAGCGACAAGACUCCCCUUAAUCCCAACCUUUCCAAUCCCUGUACAGCGCAUGCGUUGAUGAACAACCAGUUCUUCUUCACUUACACAAAAGAUAAAACAAAGUUCAUUCAUUGUGACGUGUGGGGUCAUGCAUGGAUUUUGAACUGCCCCUCGAAUUUAGUGUGGAGCCAGCAAACUCAGACAUGCAUCGAGGACACGCAUUCCUCUUCGAAUCCGUGUACGCAGGAUAAGCUUGACCAGGGAAUCACCAUGUUCCCCCUCCAGGACCCCCACAAAUACAUUCACUGUGACAAUGGGUUGAACCCCUGGGUGCAGUCAUGUGUCGGGGGCACGGUCUUUGACUACGCCUCACAGAACUGUGUCUGGCAAUCUAAUUCAAUUUUGGGGUAAUUCAAGCUGACUAAAUUGAUUGUUGUAUAUGAUGCCAGUAUUAAAACACUUUGAAAAAUUUAUGCUUUUAUAAAUACAUUAGUGCACAUGUUUCGCAAUGAAUUUUUAUGAAGUCACAAAGCUUGAAUAAAAUAUUACUAUCUGGAAAAACU
rnacentral:misc_RNA from 1 species